UACGUAGGGUGCGAGCGUUAAUCGGAAUUACUGGGCGUAAAGCGUGCGCAGGCGGUGGCUCAAGCCAGGCGUGAAAUCCCCGGGCUUAACCUGGGAAUGGCGUUUGGGACUGGGUCGCUAGAGUAUGGGAGAGGGCAGUGGAAUUCCCGGUGUAGCGGUGAAAUGCGUAGAUAUCGGGAGGAACAUCAGUGGCGAAGGCGGCUGCCUGGCCCAAUACUGACACUCAGGUGCG
rnacentral:rRNA from 1 species